GACGAACGCUGGCGGCGUGCUUAACACAUGCAAGUCGAGCGGAGCGGCGAACGGGUGAGUAAGUCGUGAGUAACCGCCCCCCUCCCUGGGAUAACAGUUGGAUACGGCUGCGAAUACCUGAUAGUAGUGGAUGACUCGCGGCCUAUCAGCUUGUCGGUGGGGUAGUGGCCUACCAAGGCGACGACGGGUAGCCGGCCUGGGGGGGCGACCGGCCACAUUAGGCUGAGAUACGGACCAAAGUCGUACGGGAGGCAACAGUGGAGAAUAUUGCCCAGUCGGGGCGACUCUGAGGCAGCAGCGCCGCGUUCGGGAUGGCGGCCUUGGGGUUGUAAACCGCUUUCAGCUAUGACGCGGUAGUGGCAGAAGAAGCACCGGCUAACUACGUGCCAGCAGCCGCGGUAAUAC
rnacentral:rRNA from 1 species